rnacentral:rRNA from 1 species
GGAUUCCCCUAGUAACGGCGAGUGAAGCGGGAAGAGCUCAAAUUUAAAAUCUGGCAGCCUACGGUUGUCCGAGUUGUAAUCUAGAGAGGUGUUUUCCGUGCCGGACCGUGUACAAGUCCCUUGGAACAGGGCGUCAUAGAGGGUGAGAAUCCCGUCCAUGACACGGACUACCGGUGCUCUGCGAUACACCUUCAAAGAGUCGAGUUGUUUGGGAAUGCAGCUCAAAAUGGGUGGUAAAUUCCAUCUAAAGCUAAAUAUAGGCGAGAGACCGAUAGCGAACAAGUACCGUGAGGGAAAGAUGAAAAGAACUUUGGAAAGAGAGUUAAACAGUACGUGAAAUUGUUGAAAGGGAAACGCUUGGAGUCAGUCGCGUCUGCUGGGACUCAGCCUUGCUUCUGCUUGGUGCACUUCUCAGUAGAUGGGCCAGCAUCAAUUUUGGGUGCAGGAAAAGGGCAGGAGGAAUGUGGCAGCUUGCUGUGUUAUAGCCUCUUGUCGUACACUGUGCUUGGGAUUGAGGACUGCAGCACGCCUUUUGGUAGGGGUUCGCCCACUCCACGUGCUUAGGAUGCUGGCGUAAUGGCUUUAAACGA